rnacentral:rRNA from 1 species
AUUGAACGCUGGCGGCAGGCCUAACACAUGCAAGUCGAGCGGAUGAAGGGAGCUUGCUCCUGGAUUCAGCGGCGGACGGGUGAGUAAUGCCUAGGAAUCUGCCUGGUAGUGGGGGAUAACGUCCGGAAACGGGCGCUAAUACCGCAUACGUCCUGAGGGAGAAAGUGGGGGAUCUUCGGACCUCACGCUAUCAGAUGAGCCUAGGUCGGAUUAGCUAGUUGGUGGGGUAAAGGCCUACCAAGGCGACGAUCCGUAACUGGUCUGAGAGGAUGAUCAGUCACACUGGAACUGAGACACGGUCCAGACUCCUACGGGAGGCAGCAGUGGGGAAUAUUGGACAAUGGGCGAAAGCCUGAUCCAGCCAUGCCGCGUGUGUGAAGAAGGUCUUCGGAUUGUAAAGCACUUUAAGUUGGGAGGAAGGGCAGUGAGUUAAUACCUUGCUGUUUUGACGUUACCAACAGAAUAAGCACCGGCUAACUUCGUGCCAGCAGCCGCGGUAAUACGAAGGGUGCAAGCGUUAAUCGGAAUUACUGGGCGUAAAGCGCGCGUAGGUGGUUCAGCAAGUUGGAUGUGAAAUCCCCGGGCUCAACCUGGGAACUGCAUCCAAAACUACUGAGCUAGAGUACGGUAGAGGGUGGUGGAAUUUCCUGUGUAGCGGUGAAAUGCGUAGAUAUAGGAAGGAACACCAGUGGCGAAGGCGACCACCUGGACUGAUACUGACACUGAGGUGCGAAAGCGUGGGGAGCAAACAGGAUUAGAUACCCUGGUAGUCCACGCCGUAAACGAUGUCGACUAGCCGUUGGGAUCCUUGAGAUCUUAGUGGCGCAGCUAACGCGAUAAGUCGACCGCCUGGGGAGUACGGCCGCAAGGUAA